CAGCGUGGGCGGAGAGGCUCACGGCAAGGUGGAAGCCGCCCACCGCGACUCCGAGGCCAUAAACGGAGCUCUUCGCUCAAUAUAGCAAGACGCGCAGCACCGGCACCCGACAGAACAGAGCGGGCUGAGUCGGCGUCGUUGUCGCGGGGCGCGGCGGCGGUGCAGGAGCAGCAAAGCGAGAGCGGGCCGGGAGCGCGCGGCGGCAGCAGCGGGCAGAAUGAAAGGGCCGUCGGUCGGGCCGACGUCGGAGGUGAUCCGCGAGGGCGAGCUGGAGAAGCGCAGCGACAGCCUCUUCCAGCUGUGGAAGAAGAAGCAGGUGGUGCUGAGCAAGGAGAGCCUGAGCCUCUUCUCGCCCGAGGGAAGCGGCGGCAGCGGCGGCGGCGGCAGCAGGGCCCGCGCCAAAGAGCUGCGCUUCGGCUCCAUCCAGAAGGUGGACUGCGUGGAGCGCACCGGCAAGUACGUCUACUUCACCAUCGUCACCACGGACCGCAAGGAGAUCGACUUUCGGUGCCCGGGCGAGAGCUGCUGGAACGCCUCCAUCACCAUGGCGCUCAUCGACUUCCAGAACAAGCGCGCCAUCCAGGACUUCAAGAGCCGGCAGGAGGCCGUCGAGCAGGCGGCGGCGGGCAGUCGCGACCGGCGCUUGGCUCGGGCGCCCUGAACCCCGCGCCCGCCCAGUCUCCCGCGAACCAGCCUAGCCGAGGUGAGAGGACGUAGAUGGUUCCCAAGGGCUGCGGACAAGCGUCCGGAAAAGAUUCAAGAGAGCAUGACCAUGGAACACAAACAAGAUUUAAUAACUUGGAUUGUGCUGGUGCAGGAAAUCAAUGAAGAAAAGCAAAGAAGGAUGAGAUGGAAGUUGCUAGAUUUCUUCAGAUCGAAUGAAGCUGCUGAAUUGAAUAGUUGAACUUUCACCGAAAAGCACUUGCAAACCAAAGACCCUUUGAAAAACCAAAGUCUGGUUAACCAAGCAAGAGAUCCAGCUUGCAAACUGCUAUUUUCUUUUCUAUUUAUAAGAUAGACAAUUCUGCACCAUUUGGUGGGGGAAAGUACUUUUAAAUUAUUUGUAAUAGCUGUAUUUUAUAUUUUUGAUGAACAUUUUUAAUAUUGCUUUUUGUGUUCACGUGUCCAUUCCAGAUAAACUGUUCUUUUUAUCUUUGUAUCCCAAAUAAGUCUCAUGGACAGAAAUUUUGUAAUGCUCAAGAGUAUUCUGAUUUUGGAGUAGUCUGAUAAAUGCAGUAUUUUACAGGCAUCUGACCUCUGAGAAAUAUUGUCAUGUCUGGCUGAAAUUACUUUCAAAUAGCAGCACAAAAAUUAUGUAAUUGUGAACUAAUUUUGACUCAUGAAUGGCUAAAUAAAAUUUCACCCUGGGUUCAAAGUAUAGUAGAGGGACUGAGAAGCCUUUAAUCUAUAGACCGUCUGGGUGCAGCCUUUCUCACCCUCUCCUGAACCUUCCACACACCAUUUUUCCCCCAUGUUAAAAAGGGGCUGGUAGGAAGACAAGAUGAUGUUCAAUACCUAAUUCACUUACAGCUUUGAACCAGGGAGGAAUUCUGACAAAUUUAUUAAAGUAUCCCAUACUCAUUUCUGAUAUUUUUAGCCACUUUUAGGGAGUGUAGAAAAUUAUUCUACUUAUAAAAACAGCCAUUUCUCUGCUUGCAUAAGGUUCUCGAGAUUGAAAUUCAUGUACUGCCUUUUGGAGAGAAAUUAAGACUAUUAUUUUCAGUGGAACCCAUUUCCAACUAGGUGACCUCUUUGCUAGGCCACAUAAUUCUAUUGGUGUUAGCUUUUUAUGAAAGCAUCCUCAAACCCCCUAAUGUUGGCAUAUUACAUGACGCACAUUGUUUUCUUUUUUAAAAAAGUGAUAAUUUGGAACAGCAGUGAAAGCUUUGCAAUUGUCAUGCACUAAUUCACUUGGAGAAGACUGAAUUAAAAUUAACUCUAAUUAGCAACACCUGGUCAGCAUAUUGCUCUGCAAUGUAAUUUCCUCAGUGCAUCACUCAGGCGUUUGAGAUAAUGCUAGAAGGUUGUCUGGCUAGCAUCAGCAAUCCUGAUAAAUUACGUGAUGCACAAUUAAACAAGAGUCCAAGAAAACCUCCAGGCUAGCCGUUCUCUUGCCACCCCACAGAGAAGGGGGUUCAGGUUUCCUUGAUCAAAGCCCAUUUGAGAAGAAGCUUUGAUAAGUUCCAGAUGCCAUCACAAUUGCCUUACUCUCCCAUCUCUGUUUUGGAACUGCAGACCUAAAGAGUCCCUGGUCCACAACUCAAUAGCCUCGCUAAAUUAACAUUUUGACUAUUUCACAGAAAUAAUGCCUUCAUCAGAAUGUUCCUGGGGAAGGAGGCAAAGGGAUAACUUUUCCAUGAGUGUUAUUUUUAAAAGCUCCAGAACACAAUGUUUUAAUGAAUCAGAAGAGAUUUAUUUGAUGAAAAUGUUAAACAGAUUACAAAUGUUUCUGAUGAGUAGAAAUUUGGGGUUAAGGUAAUUGGUUAAUAUGUCAAUUUUACCUGUCUGUUCAAGGUAAAGUUAAAAUCAUGGUGAUUGCACCAAGGUCUUUCUCAGCAACAUUAUGGAUCUAUUUGCCUUUGCUGUUUUCCAGAAAAUCUUUUGACUUCUAGUCCAGCAUUAGCUUUCAAGACUAUUUAGUCCAGGACUGUCAAACACUCGGCCCGCGGGCCAGAUGCGUCACGCAUUGGCCAUGUCCAUGUCCAGUUUAGCGAAGGAGAAAAAUGUCAUGACACAUUAUGUGAUGCUGCUGUGACGACGCGAAGUUUGACACUCCUCGGUUGUCAAAUACUGUACUGCUACUUCCUGAACUGCUAAUCUGUUUUAGAGUACUGGAAGAUUUCUUAUUAUUUUGCUUCUUUUUUUGGGGUGUGUGUGUAAAUUACUUUAGUAGCUUAAAGCAGUGCACAUAGCCUUCCCUCUUCCACUUUUUCUCAUAACAUAACCAAGAUAGGUUAGGCCUAAAGAGACUGUUUGGUCCCAAAAUCACAGUGUGACCCUCCAUGGACUAGAACCUGUUGUCUCUGCUCAUGACCCAACACACUGGUCUCCUUUGGUUCAACUAUCGUAACUUUUUCUAUUCCCAUAAAGUAAAUCAUUGAGCAUCAGCAUAUCUCAGCCAAACCUAAUCUAGGUUAUCUAGCAGUUUUCAUUAUAGCUAUUAAUGAUCUGCUUGGAGGUUGGGGUAGGUUUCCUGUUUCAAUGCUUCUUCCAAAAACAAUUACAGUAAGUGGCACAGCAGAACUCAAUACAGCCAAACUGGGCAAUGUGCAGCUCUCGUGAUACUGAAUCCCGACUUACAGAAUGAGAAUUUUAAUUCAGCAUAUUUGGAGGGGGAGAAGAUGCUCAUCAAUGGAAAGACAAAAAGGAAAAAAAAUUGCAUCAUCUUAAUUGAAUCCAACCUCAUUCUGUCAAGGUUAGAACUAAAGCAUCAUUUGGAUGAAGCUGUGAACACCUGGGAAUCAAAAAAACACUAGCACAGGACUUCCUGCAAAGUUGCUUCCUUAUUUAGCAUUGUAGAAUUACAGGUUCAAGCAGCGACUGUCUUUCUAUGCUUGUUUACUAUUUAUUAACACAGCUUUAAAAUAAUCUUUCAGUUAUCAGGGCACUGUACAGAUGAAGUAAGGACAAAGUAAUUUGAACAGGAAAAUCACACUGAUAAGAAGAGGAAAAACUACAGAGUAAGCAUACAAAAAUCAAAUGACUAAAAUACCUGGGUAAGAUUUGAAUGAAUAAAACUUGCUAUGCUUCCAUUUCCAGGAGUAAAUUUUUCUGUAGCUGGAGGCCCACAGCUGAGAUGGUUUCUGUCUCAUUAUGACAUUAAAUUUAUCAAGAGGGGUACUGCUCUUUUUGGGCCCCAUACCAUUUAGGAUUUUAAAACAGAACCCUGGUUGCACAUGAUAACUGCAGCAAGAUAAUAUGCACAAAAAUGAAACAUCCAUAAUGGAGGAAUGGUUGGCAAAGAUGGUAGAAUUAACAGAUAUGCCAAAUUGACUUGUUUGAUUAGGGAAAAGAUGAUAAGCACAUUUAUUAGCAAUUGGAACCCCUUAUGGAUUUUUGCUGAAGAAAGAAAACAAUGAACUUGUAAUUAGAAAAGGUAAACUAUGAAAAGAAGGAAAUUACGAUGUAACCUUAAGAGAAAGGGUGAAAUAUAAAUUCAUUUAUAACUACCUAAUAUUAGAAGGCAGUUCUUUAUAACCCUUUUUCUUUAUCUGUUUACUGUUUUUUAUUUCUUCUCUAAAAUUAGUAUUGUUUUUAUCUUGUUAAACAUUCAUUUAAUAAAAAUUACAUCCACACAACUGCACACUAGG